AUGGCCUGGGUCUUCAGGACCUUCUCCCACUGGUGGGAGAAGAGGGAAGUGGCAGAGCCGGAGUUGUGCAGACUCAUGGAGAGGUUUAACGCGUUCAAAGGGACUAAUACCAUACUGCAAUAUUUGAUGAAGUCCAAGCACAUGGACGUAGCAGGAGAUGUACUAUUUGGAAAGAAAAGGUUGUGCAGGAGUGAUAACACUGAACAGACCCAAGUUCCUAAAUGCACUGACUCUUAAUAUGAUUCAGCAGAUUUAUCCACAGCUAAAGAGGUGGGAACAAGAUCCUGAAACUUUCCUGAUCAUUAUAAAGGGAACUGGAGAAAAGGCCUUCUGUGCUGGUGGUGAUGUCAGAGUGAUCUCAGAAGCGGAAAGGCGAAAGAGAAGAUGGCUCAAGAUUUCUUCAGAGAAGAAUAUAUGCUGAACAAUACCAUUGAUUCUUGCCAGAAACUUUAUGUUGCCCUUAUUCAUGGAAUCACAAUGGGGGGGGGGAGUUGGUGUCUCAGUUCAUGGGCAAUUCCAAGUGGCUACAGAAAAGUCUCUUUUUUCAAUGCCAGAAACAGCAAGAGGAUUAUUUCCUGAUGUGGGUGGAGGUUAUUUCUUGCCAAGACUUCAAGGAAAACUUGGUUACUUCCUUGCCUUAACAGGAUUCAGACUAAAAGGAAGAGAUGUGUACAGAGCAAGAAUCGCUACACACUUUGUAGAUUCUGAAAAGUUGGAUAUGUUAGAGGAAGAUUUGUUAGCCUUGAAGUCUCCUUCAACAGCAAAUAUUGAAGCUGUCUUAGAAACAUAUACAGAGUCCAAGAUUGAUCUGGACAAGUCUUUUAUACUUGAGAAACACAUAGACAAAAUAAAUAGUUGUUUUUCAGCCAAUACUGUAGAACAGAUUAUUGGAAACUUACAGCACGAUAGUUCCUCUUUUGCCCUGGAGCAGCUGAAGGUAAUUAAUAAGAUAUCUCCAACAUCUCUAAAGAUUACACUAAGGCAAUUCAUGGAUGGGUCCUCAAAGACCUUGCAGGAGGUAUUAACUAUGGAGUAUCGGCUAAGUCAAGCUUGUCUGGGAGGUCAUGACUUUCAUGAAGGCAUUAGAACUGUUUUAGUUGAUAAAGACCAGUGUCCAAAGUGGAAACCAGCUGAUCUAAAAGAAGUUACUGAUGAAGAUGUGAAUAAUCACUUUAAGUCUCUAGGAAGCAAUGAUUUGAAAUUUUGAGGUGACUGGCCUUUUCAGGUAUAUUUUGGAGCAGUGGCUGGCAAACUAUAGCAUGUGGGCUAAAUCCAGCCUGCUGUUUUUAUACACAGCUUGCAAACUAAGAAUGGUUUCUGCCAUUUUAAAAUGUUUGGGGAAAGAGUAAGAGACUAAAAUUUCAUGAUUUGUGAAAAUUACAUGAAAUUCAAAUAUCCAUGUUCACACAUAAAGCUUUAUUAGAACAUAAAAAAAAAAA